GACUCUCGGCAACGGAUAUCUCGGCUCUCGCAUCGAUGAAGAAUGUAGCGAAAUGCGAUACUUGGUGUGAAUUACAGAAUCCCAUGAACCAUCGAGUCUUUGAACGCAAGUUGCACCCCAAGCCUUCUGGCCGAGGGCACGUCUGCCUGGGUGUCA
rnacentral:rRNA from 1 species